CUGCAGUCGAAGGUGAUGAGGAGCUUGCUUCUCUGAUCAGUGGCGAACGGGUGAGUAACACGUGAGCAAUCUGCCCUUGACUCUGGGAUAAGCGUUGGAAACGACGUCUAAUACCGGAUACGACCCUUGGAGGCAUCUCUGGGGGUGGAAAGAAUUUUGGUCAAGGAUGAGCUCGCGGCCUAUCAGCUAGUUGGUGAGGUAAUGGCUCACCAAGGCGACGACGGGUAGCCGGCCUGAGAGGGUGACCGGCCACACUGGGACUGAGACACGGCCCAGACUCCUACGGGAGGCAGCAGUGGGGAAUAUUGCACAAUGGGCGAAAGCCUGAUGCAGCAACGCCGCGUGAGGGACGACGGCCUUCGGGUUGUAAACCUCUUUUAGUAGGGAAGAAGCGAAAGUGACGGUACCUGCAGAAAAAGCACCGGCUAACUACGUGCCAGCAGCCGCGGUAAUACGUAGGGUGCAAGCGUUGUCCGGAAUUAUUGGGCGUAAAGAGCUCGUAGGCGGUUUGUCGCGUCUGCUGUGAAAACCCGAGGCUCAACCUCGGGCCUGCAGUGGGUACGGGCAGACUAGAGUGCGGUAGGGGAGAUUGGAAUUCCUGGUGUAGCGGUGGAAUGCGCAGAUAUCAGGAGGAACACCAAUGGCGAAGGCAGAUCUCUGGGCCGUAACUGACGCUGAGGAGCGAAAGCAUGGGGAGCGAACAGGAUUAGAUACCCUGGUAGUCCAUGCCGUAAACGUUGGGAACUAGAUGUGGGGACCAUUCCACGGUCUCCGUGUCGCAGCUAACGCAUUAAGUCCCCC
rnacentral:rRNA from 1 species